rnacentral:rRNA from 1 species
CUACGGGACGCACCAGUGGGGAAUAUUGCACAAUGGGCGUAAGCCUGAUGCAGCCAUGCCGCGUGUAUGAAGAAGGCCUUCGGGUUGUAAAGUACUUUCAGCGGGGAGGAAGGGAGUAAAGUUAAUACCUUUGCUCAUUGACGUUACCCGCAGAAGAAGCACCGGCUAACUCCGUGCCAGCAGCCGCGGUAAUACGGAGGGUGCAAGCGUUAAUCGGAAUUACUGGGCGUAAAGCGCACGCAGGCGGUUUGUUAAGUCAGAUGUGAAAUCCCCGGGCUCAACCUGGGAACUGCAUCUGAUACUGGCAAGCUUGAGUCUCGUAGAGGGGGGUAGAAUUCCAGGUGUAGCGGUGAAAUGCGUAGAGAUCUGGAGGAAUACCGGUGGCGAAGGCGGCCCCCUGGACGAAGACUGACGCUCAGGUGCGAAAGCGUGGGGAGCAAACAGGAUUAGAUACCCGUGUAGUC